UGGUAAUUAGUUUAACAAAAACAAAUGAUUUCGACUCAUUAGAUUAUGCCAACUACAUAAUUACCAA